ensembl:lncRNA
CGGCCCUCGGUCAGAGCCGCGUUGGUUCCUCUUCAACCUCCACGACGCACGGACAGCGGUGAGGCUGCAAAUCAGAUAAACUGAAAGAAUCCAAAAGCCAGAGGUGUGAGCAUCCCGAAGCCUGUUUGGAUCAUCUGCAUGCUGCUGAGAGAGUGAUAACUGAGGAGCCAACAAAUAUUCAGGGCCUUAAAUAGUGUCAAUGAGUCACUCCUCCCAUGCUUUGGCACUGAUAAAAUGCAGGUUCGCGUGACGCAUCGAGUUAAUGCGCAACAUAGAAUCAGAAUCAGAAAUGUGUUCUCAGAAUCUGACUACAUAUAUAUAGAAAUAUAUUAUAGAUAUAUUUGUUACAGGAAAGUGUGCAAACGUGAUUAAAAGACUAUAAAAUAAUUGUUUCGUUAUCAGAGGAAAACACAUGGUGUUGCAUUUUAAUCCGACAAAGUCUUCGGAAAUAAAAAGACUCUCACUGGUGACACAUAAAGCACGUUGGACCUUAUUAUCGACCAUCACUGUAACCCCGAACGUCCAAAAUAAUUAAAUAGAUUAAGUAGUGUGUAAGAGCCAUUUUGUUAUUGUUUUGAUUGUUAACCUCCCACCACUUAGGCGGGUGGAGCUAUAUUUCAAUUAGGCAGCAAGGUCCAGGAUUACCUGCCACAGGUGUUGGUGUGUGUGGGAGGCAAAGAGUGUUUUGACCGCGGUACGUGGAUGAGUGAUCAUGGAACAUGAGCGUUACAGAGAGAACGUGGAAUGUAAGCAUGGAAGAGCGAG